rnacentral:rRNA from 1 species
UACAGAGGUCCCGAGCGUUGUUCGGAUUCACUGGGCGUAAAGGGCGCGUAGGUGGUGGCUUAAGCGUGCGGUGAAAGCUCGGAGCUCAACUCCGAGUCGGCCGUGCGAACUGGGCUCACUGGAGCAUAGUAGAGGCAGGUGGAAUUCCGGGUGUAGCGGUGGAAUGCGUAGAGAUCCGGAAGAACACCGGUGGCGAAGGCGGCCUGCUGGGCUAUGGCUGACACUGAGGCGCGACAGCGUGGGGAGCAAACAGG